rnacentral:lncRNA from 1 species
CACGGUCGAUCUGAAGUUUACUUCGGGGAAGAUCGUGCGGCUGAAGAACAUGCAUUAUGUCCCCUCCGUCAAUAAAAAUCUUGUUAGCGGAUCUCUUCUUUGUAGAGAUGGCUACAAGCUUGUCUUUGAGUCGAAUAAAUUUGUAAUAUCCAAGUAUGGAACCUUUGUUGGUAAAGGCUAUGAGUCAGGAGGCUUGUUUCGUUUAUCCUUAUCAGACGUUUGCAAUAAAGUUGUUAAUCAUAUUUGCAACAAUAGUGAAUCCAAUGUGUGGCAUUCACGUCUCUGUCAUGUUAACUUUGGUUGCAUGUCGCGACUAGCGAAGUUGAACUUAAUCCCUAGUUUCACCACCGUUAAGGGAUCUAAGUGUCAAGUGUGUGUGCAAGCUAAGCAACCUCGUAAGUCUCACACGACUGCGGAAAUAAGAAAUCUUGCACCACUAGAGAUCAUACAUUCAGAUCUAUGUGAAAUGAAUGGUGUUUUGACAAAAGGUAGAAAGAAAUAUUUCAUGACGUUAAUUGAUGACUCCACUAGAUACUGCCGUGUGUAUCUUCUUAAAUCUAAGGAUGAGGCUUUGAACUUCUUCAAGAUCUAUAAAGCCGAAGUGGAAACCCAACUUGAUCGAAAAAUCAAGAGGCUUAGGUCCGACCGUGGUGGAGAGUAUUUUUCCAAUGAAUUUGAUGCUUUUUGUGUGGAACAUGGUAUAAUUCAUGAGAGGACGCCUCCCUAUUCACCUCAGUCAAAUGGGGUGGCCGAAAGAAAGAACCGUACUCUAACUGAUUUGGUUAACGCCAUGUUAGACACAUCGGGUCUCUCCAAGGCAUGGUGGGGGGAGGCAAUAUUGACAGCAUGUCAUGUCCUGAACCGAGUCCCCACAAAGAACAAAGAGAUAACUCCAUUCGAGGAAUGGGAGAAGAAAAGGUUAAAACUCUCUUAUCUACGAACAUGGGGUUGUUUGGCGAAAGUCAAUGUUCCAAUUCCAAAGAAGCAGAAGCUUGGACCAAAGACUGUGGAUUGUGUUUUCCUGGGAUAUGCUUUUCAUAGCAUUGGCUAUAGAUUCUUGGUUGUGAAAUCUGAGGUACCUGACAUGCAUGUCGGUACGAUCAUGGAGUCGAAUGAUGCGACUUUCUUUGAAGAUAUUUUUCCCAUGAAGGAUAUGGCUACCUCAUCUAAUCAGUAGAUGCCUAGUUCAUCGAAUUAGGAACCAGUUACAAUUACCGAACCUACCAUUUCGAUGGAACACUUCGAAAGUCCUGUGGAGGAGAACAAUGAAGUUCCUACCAGGAGCAAGAGACAGAGGACUGCAAAGUCCUUUGGUGAUGAUUUUCUUGUGUAUCUCAUAGAUGACACUCCUAGUUCUAUUUCAGAGGCCUAUGCAUCUGAAGAUGCUGACUACUGGAAGGAAGCGGUUCGUAGCGAGAUGGAUUCCAUCUUAGCAAAUGAAGCUUGGGAGAUAACUGAUCAUCCUUAUGGGUGCAAACCUAUAGGAUGCAAAUGGGUAUUCAAGAAGAAGCUUAGGCCUGAUGGUACUAUUGAAAAGUACAAGGCUCGGCUCGUGGCUAAGGGUUAUACCCAGAAGGAAGGUGAAGACUUCUUUGAUACUUACUCACCUGUGGCUCGACUGACCACUAUUCAAGUUCUACUUUCACUAGCUGCCUCGCAUGGUCUUCUCGUUCAUCAAAUGGAUGUUAAGACUGCUUUCCUAAAUGGAGAGUUGGACGAGGAAAUUUAUAUGGAACAACCAGAUGGGUUUGUACUAGAUGGUCAGGAAGAGAAAGUGUGCAAGUUGCUGAAGUCUUUGUACGGACUUAAGCAAGCACCCAAACAGUGGCAUGAGAAGUUUGAAAGAACUUUAACAGCUGCAGGCUUUGUUGUGAACAAAGCCGACAAAUGUGUGUACUAUCGCCAUGGUGGGGUGAGGAAGUUAUCCUAUGCUUGUAUGUCGAUGACAUACUGAUUUUCGGAACAAAUCUGAAAGUUAUUAAGCAGGUCAAGGAUUUCCUAUCUCGUUGUUUUGAGAUGAAGGAUUUAGGAGUGGCUGAUGUCAUUCUGAACAUCAAGUUGUUGAGAGACGAUGAUGGUGGGAUUACUUUGCUUCAAUCUCACUAUGUGGAAAAGAUCUUGAGUCGCUUUGGCUAUAGUGACUGCAAGCCCUCUCCAACACCAUAUGAUGCUAGUGUGUUGCUUCGAAAGAAUCGAAGAAUUGCUAGAGACCAAUUGAAGUAUUCUCAGAUUAUUGGCUCGCUUAUGUACUUAGCCAGUGCUACAAGACCUAACAUCUCUUUUGCUGUUAGCAAACUGAGUCGGUUUGUUUCAAAACCAGGAGAUGUGCAUUGGAAAGCUCUAGAAAGAGUUUUGCGUUAUUUGAAAGGCACUGCAAAUUAUGGAAUUCACUACACCGGGCAUCCAAAGGUGCUUGAAGGGUAUAGUGACUCAAACUGGAUCUCAGAUGCUGAUGAGAUAAAGGCCACGAGCGCUUAUGUAUUCACUCAUGGAGGUGGUGCUGUUUCUCGGAAGUCUUGUAAGCAGACCAUCUUAACGAGAUCAACAAUGGAAGCAGAACUCAUAGCACUAGAUACAGCUACGGUCGAAGCAGAUUGGCUUCGUCAGCUCUUGAAUGACUUACCGGUUGUUGAGAAACCUGUACCGGGUAUCCUUAUGAACUGCGACAAUCAAACUGUGAUCACGAAAGUGAGAAGCUCAAAGGAUAACAUGAAGUCAUCAAGACACGUCCAGAGAAGGUUAAAGUCUGUCAGAAAAAUGAAAAUCUCCGGAGUUAUUGCAUUGGAUUAUAUCCAAACGUCUAAAAAUCUGGCAGAUCCUUUUACUAAGGGUCUAUCAUGUAAUGUGAUAGAUAAUGCAUCGAGGGAGAUGGGUAUGAGACCCACAAUAUGAGUUGUUCACAGUGGUAACCUAUUCUUUGUGAUCGGAGAUCCCGUUAAUUAGAUGUGGAAGACAAGCUGUUGGUCAACUGAGAGGAGAGUAUCCUUAUUAUUCACAAUACCACUCCAUGAAGAUGCAAUACUCUCCUUAUCUGCAUGGCAGGUUGAUGUAUAUCUUAAUGUGUUCUAAAGUGGCUUAUUUAAGCAGAGAUGUUAUCCUGCAGAACAUCUUUUGAAGAACACACCUAUAUGAGUCUGAUUGUCAAACUUCGCAAUCUAUGAGAGUAGGGUUCUCUCUAGUAAACUCAUGAAAGGUCACAGAGUAUGAUGCAUAAGCUCCACCCGCGGGGAAGACCCACGGUAGCCAUGUAUCGGUCAAGGCUUUAUGUGAAGCUAGAUUCGCAGAAAAUUUGCAGUUCAAGGCCGAGUCCACUGUUCAAGUUGCUUACUAGUGUAGCGUAGAGUUCUAGGUGAAAGUUCAACUUAACAGUCUCCACUGCAGUACCGGUAUAUAAAACAGCGCUUUGGAACCAAAGGCAAAUUUUUGUGUGCCUCUGGGAUCUGGUGGGGGAUUGUUGGAAUUUUUUCUAUUUUGGGCCUAGCCCAAUAGCAGUUUCAGAAAUUCCUAAUAAAUCCUAGAGGCCCACACAGCCCAUUUGUGCAAGGCAAGAGGUGGAACAAAAGUUUAGUCCCACAUUGCUAGUUUAGAGGGAGUUGGACCUCUUUAUAAGGGAGGUUCUUUCCCCACAUGUAUGAGCAUGAGAACAAGAGGGACAUCCACGCGCGCUCCUCCUCCGCCGCCCGCCUCGCUACGCCACGCCUCGUCACGACGCGCCGCGGGUUGCGGGAAUGAGCCGAGCCGAUGUCUAAAUUUUUGCCACGCACGACGGGUAUGCAAAAGGUCACGUGGGAGUUGAAACGUUUUUCUUUAGUGGACACUGAAUUUGAACGGCGCGCCUCUUCGGCCGCUGCCUGUUCGCUUCAUCUCCCUUCGUUGCUUCACCACUCGCCGCAGCCUCUUCGCGUACUUCUCCUGUGCCUAUAUAAGAGAGGACGCUCCUCUUCAGAGAGACACAGCAGAAGAUCCCCUUCCUCUCGCCACAAAGUUCCUGAGCACUGCAAUGCUGCUACGAUCUUCCCCAUCCCGGCUUGCGGCAUGCACCAUAGGUCUGGACAGUAGGCCUCCGAAACUGCACCUUUUGAGUCCUGUACGGGAGAAGGGUGAUAAGGUUUUUGGGGAGCGCUCAACGCGACUACUGGCUGCUUCAUCACGGACGAUCCGGUCGUCGACGACUACUUCCCCGACGUCCACGACCUCCUCGACGACAUGGCAGGCGAGGACACCGACCCCAAGUCCAGCGCUUCUGCUGCUGCUGUCCCAUACGUGUUCUUGUCUUUCAUGUUAAAGGUUCUGUCGCAGUUCCUUGUUCUAGUCCUUGUCCUACACAUGAUAUGUUCUACUUCAUAUAUGCAACUAGUUCUACUAUCUGCUAUAGAUAUGCUAGGCUACGGUUCAUAUAUGCAGAAACUAUUUACCUUCUCUCUGUCAGAACAUAUGACUUGUUUUAUCUCUAUUAUAUUACUCAUGCUUUAUCUAGUAUUUCUGUUAAUAAAAUCAUUUGGUAAAUUGCUCAUGUUUCCAACAAUCCAAAAACCUUAUUAUAGGCAAUUUACCCCAAGUGGUUUUGCUGCUUCCAUGAGACCUCCUAUGUUUGAGGGUUUCCACUAUAAGAGGUGGCGCGUGAGAGCAGUCUUAUGGUUUCAAACCAUGAGUUGUUAUGACGCCACUCUCGGCAAACCUGAAGGAGAGCUUGACGCUCAACAGGCACAAGCUUUUCAGAAAAUGGAUACUCUGUUUAAGGCUGCUCUCUUGAGUGUUCUUGGUGAGAACAUAGUUGAUGCUUAUGCGUCAAUUGAUAAUGGAAAAGAUAUGUGGGAUGCACUCGAGGCCAAGUUUGGGGUCUCAGAUGCUGGCACUGAGCUAUACAUCAUGGAGCAAUUCUAUGAUUACAAGAUGACUGAAGAGCGCUCCGUGCUUGAGCAAGCUCAUGAGAUACAGUCAUUUGCUAGAGAACUUGAGCACUUCAGUUGUAUGCUACCGGACAAGUUUGUUGCCGGAGGUAUCAUCACUAAGCUUCCUCCUUCAUGGAGGAACUUUGCUACCUUGCCGAAGCAUAAGAGGCAGGAGUUUUCCGUCCCGGAUCUCAUUUGCACUCUUGAUGUGGAAGAAAAGGCGAGAGCAAAGGACACACGUGCUCGAGGUAUUGAGGGAGGAUCUAGUGCCAAUGUGGUACAGAAGCAGAACUUCCAGCCCCACAAGUUCAAGAACAAGGGCAAGUUUGAUGGUAAAGCAAAGUUUGAUGGGAAGAACAAGGCUGUGCAACACACAAACUUCAAGAAGAAGAAUGGCAAGAAGAAAGGUUCUUGUCAUGUGUGUGGGGAUCCUGAUCAUUGGGAUCCUAGUUGCCCUAAUCGCUAUGACAAGCGUAAUCCUAGGAAAGGCGGCAAGACCGCUAAUGUUGUCAUUGGAGACACUGACAUGAAGGAUGCUGGGUAUGGUAUAUUUCCCACUAUUCUUUCAGUAUGUCAUUCUCCUGACUGGUUGAUUGCCACAGGUGCUAAUGUGCAUGUAUGUGGUGAUAUUUCCAUGUUUUCGUCUUAUCAGACCGCAGGGACUUCAACCGUGCUGAUGGGCAACGGAUCAAGUGCUUCUGUUCAUGGUGUUGGCACGGUCGAUGUGAAGUUUACUUCGGGGAAGAUCGUGCGGCUGAAGAACGUCCAUUAUGUCCCCUCCGUCAAUAAAAAUCUUGUUAGCGGAUCUCUUCUAUGUAGAGAUGGCUACAAGCUUGUCUUUGAGUCGAAUAAAUUUGUUAUAUCCAAGUAUGGAACCUUUGUUGGUAAAGGCUAUGAGUCAGGAGGCUUGUUUCGUUUAUCCUUAUCAGACGUUUGCAAUAAAGUUGUUAAUCAUAUUUGCAACAA